UACGGAGGGUGCAAACGUUGCUCGGAAUCAUUGGGCGUAAAGCGCACGUAGGUGGUCCAGCAAGUCGGGUGUGAAAGCCCUCGGCUUAACCGAGGAAGUGCAUUCGAAACUACUGGACUUGAGUACUGAAGAGGAUCGCGGAAUUCCCGGUGUAGAGGUGAAAUUCGUAGAUAUCGGGAGGAACACCAGUGGCGAAGGCGGCGAUCUGGGCAGAUACUGACACUGAGGUGCGAAAGCGUGGGGAGCAAACAGG
rnacentral:rRNA from 1 species